GGCGAAAGAGUUUAUCAGCGUCAAAACGGGAGGCUAUUUUUGUGGGUGACAACCAGCAUAGAAAAUUAGAAACCCAGCAAGACCGUAGCCGAGUUUUGUUCUGCUCCGUCACCAUGUGGUUUUCUGCAACCUCCAUCCUUCUCGCUGUCUAGCUCUGUAAUUGUGUUGUUCCUGUUUUGAUUUUCUUUCUUUUCUUUAUUAUUGAAAGGACCAGAACUGAACCAGAAAACCCAUUAAAAAAGCUCAACAAGAAAACAACAAUAUAUUAAUUGUAUUGUUUUUAUUUUUUUUUAUUAGGCGCAAAAACGAAACACCAACAAACCCAAGUCUCCAAUCAGUAUUCCUUAGUCUCCACUUCAUCUCCCCACCAAAAACGAAAGACCCUUCUCAACUGCUAGCAAAGAAACAAUAUUUUCAUGUUCCAAAAAUCUUCUCUUAAAUUGGAGAAAUGGUGGAGUUCAAGAAACCCACCAGGAAGAAUACGGGGUUCUUUGUAAAAAUGAAACUUGUACACAGGCAUGGAAGGCUGCAACCACUGCAGGAGAAAAGCAAUCCCUGUUUCAAAUAUUACAAAUGGCUUCUCUGGGUUUCUCUUUCUCUUUAUUUCUUCAGCUCUUACUUCAUCAGCUAUAAGCCUAUUCCUCUGUCCAAAACCCAAUAUUUCUCCAAAUCUACCGUAGUUUCUCGUGCCCUCUUUGAAUCUACCAACUCCACAUUCCUUCAACAGCCCGAGAACCAUCAAGCUUUGUUGAAGGAUUUGAAGAUAUAUGUCUACGAAUUGCCAUCGAAAUACAACACGGACUGGCUGGCCAACGAGAGAUGCAGCAACCAUUUGUUUGCUUCGGAGGUAGCUAUUCACAGAGCAAUAUCAAACAGCGAUGAUGUACGGACGUUUGACCCUUACGAAGCUGAUUUUUUCUUUGUCCCUGUCUACGUAUCCUGCAAUUUCAGCACCGUUAAUGGGUUCCCUGCAAUCGGUCACGCCAGGUCCCUCCUGUCCUCCGCCGUUCAGCUUAUUUCUGCCAGCUUCCCCUUCUGGAACAGUUCCCAGGGAGCUGACCAUGUCUUUGUUGCCUCUCACGAUUUUGGCUCUUGCUUCCACACUCUGGAGGAGAGAGCUAUGGAGGAUGGGGUACCAGAGUUUUUGAAGAAGUCAAUCAUAUUACAGACUUUUGGCGUCAAAUAUGACCACCCAUGUCAAGACGUGGAGAACGUGGUGAUACCACCUUAUGUUUCUCCGGAAAUUGUGCGCUCAACCCCUCAAAAAGCUCCGUUGACCGACCGGCGAGACAUUUGGGUGUUCUUUAGAGGCAAGAUGGAAGUUCAUCCUAAGAACGUUAGUGGUCGCUUUUACAGCAGGAAGGUAAGGACGGAGAUAUGGAGGAAGUUCAACGGCGACCGGAGGUUCUACUUGCAGAGGCAUAGAUUUGCCGGUUACCAGUCGGAGAUAGCAAGGUCGGUGUUUUGUUUGUGUCCAUUGGGGUGGGCCCCAUGGAGUCCUAGACUGGUCGAAUCAGUCGCGUUGGGGUGCGUGCCGGUAAUUAUUGCCGAUGGGAUACGGUUGCCAUUCCCCACCGCCGUUCCAUGGCCGGAGAUAUCCCUCACGGUUGCGGAAAAGGACGUGGCAAAACUAGGAAGGAUCUUGGAACACGUGGCAGCCACUAAUUUGUCAACGAUCCAGAAAAACCUGUGGGACCCAGCAGUUAAGCGGGCGUUACUUUUCAACAAUCAAAUACAAGAAGGGGACGCGACGUGGCACGUGCUUUAUGCCCUGGCACAGAAGCUGGAUCGAUCGCAUAGAACGGUGAUGGUUUUGAACAAAUGAGAGGAUGGCACGUGGAUGGUUCUGAUUUGUGGACCACAGAACAGAGAUUAGUGCCGGGCUGCCAGCUAAUACAUCUAUGCUUUUGCCAACGUGGAGUUGCAUGUAAUCAAACAUUAUGGAGUACAGCUGGAUUUUCCGACUGCAUGUAACUGUAGGUGUGGUGGGGUCUACCGUGGCAGAGGUUGAAGUUUUUUUUGGUCACGUGACUUGGUCGCUGAGUUGGCUGACAACGAUUGGUUAAAAAAUGGUAAAUAUAUAUAUAAAAAAAAAGUUCAUCACUGCAAUUUUUUUUGGCAAAAAAAAAAAAAAAAAA
rnacentral:misc_RNA from 1 species